AGACCCGAAACCCGGUGAUCUAGCCAUGGGCAGGUUGAAGGUUGGGUAACACUAACUGGAGGACCGAACCGACUAAUGUUGAAAAAUUAGCGGAUGACCUGUGGCUGGGGGUGAAAGGCCAAUCAAACCGGGAGAUAGCUGGUUCUCCCCGAAAGCUAUUUAGGUAGCGCCUCGUGAAUUCAUCUCCGGGGGUAGAGCACUGUUUCGGCUAGGGGGCCAUCCCGGCUUACCAACCCGAUGCAAACUGCGAAUACCGGAGAAUGUUAUCACGGGAGACACACGGCGGGUGCUAACGUCCGUCGUGAAGAGGGAAACAACCCAGACCGCCAGCUAAGGUCCCAAAGUCAUGGUUAAGUGGGAAACGAUGUGGGAAGGCCCAGACAGCCAGGAUGUUGGCUUAGAAGCAGCCAUCAUUUAAAGAAAGCGUAAUAGCUCACUGGUCGAGUCGGCCUGCGCGGAAGAUGUAACGGGGCUAAACCAUGCACCGAAGCUGCGGCAGCGAACGUAUCACCCAAGACAACUUUACGGAGUUGACGAUUGACGGAGCGAAGCGACGUCAAAGCGUUCAUUAAAGUCGAGUUGGCUUAGGGAUACGUUCGUUGGGUAGGGGAGCGUUCUGUAAGCCUGUGAAGGUGUGUCGUGAGGCAUGCUGGAGGUAUCAGAAGUGCGAAUGCUGACAUAAGUAACGAUAAAGCGGGUGAAAAGCCCGCUCGCCGGAAGACCAAGGGUUCCUGUCCAACGUUAAUCGGGGCAGGGUGAGUCGACCCCUAAGGCGAGGCCGAAAGGCGUAGUCGAUGGGAAACGGGUUAAUAUUCCCGUACUUGGUGUUACUGCGAAGGGGGGACGGAGAAGGCUAUGUUGGCCGGGCGACGGUUGUCCCGAUUUAA
rnacentral:rRNA from 1 species